ensembl:lncRNA
UGGUAAAUGGUACCUUUAUAUAUUAUUAAACUCAUAAAAAGUCUAUUACAAAAAUAUUUGUAGCACUUCUGUGAUAGAAAUAGACAAUGAUGAGCAUUUGGGUUUUCUAGUGACUGCAGAUUCCGUGUUUGAUUUUGCACAUGCUUUUGCAGGAGUAAGCAGUGUGCAUGAAGAGCAACAAACACAUUAGGAAGAUAGAGAAGGAUUAAGGUGAAGAGGUAGGGAGAGAGAAUUCCUUAAUUACUGCUCAAUUCAGCCCCUGAUUUUAAGUUAUUUUGAUGUAUUCACUAUUCCAGUUUAUAAAGUUUAUAAGGGUCUUGGGUUGAAAUGCAUCAUUUUUAAAAGCCAUUUAUGCAUUUAAGACCUUAAGUCACAGAUGGUUUGUGUGCUGCUGAAAUGAAAUUUAUUAAUGUAAAUUUGGUACCUCUUCGGCAAUGUACUUUUUUUUUUCUGGGAAUCCAAAUUGAUUUCUUCCUGCUGGGCUCCUGAUGAGUUUGUAUUAUUGUAGUUAAGAUGAAGAAACUUCAUUCUGUUCAUUUUAGGCUAAUCAAGCAAAAGUGAAAUACAAUUACUUGGUUGCAGGUUACUUGGUUAUUUGUCAGAAAACUUAAAUUGAUUUUAGAAAUGAUCAUAAGAGUUUUGGUAUCUUUCAGUAUCUAGAUCUCAGUUCUCUUUCACAGAUUUUACUAACACCUGUUCCGGCUAGUACCAAUAAAGAGCACAUCUUUUUUUUCCUGUGCAGGUGUAUUUGCUGGGAAGCCAAUAGAGGAAAUCAAGCACUUCUGUAUGUGCUAAUUAUAAAUACGAUAGGCAACACAACUGAAUUGCAUGUCAAUGCGAAAAUUAGUUGAAAAUUUAAUUUUGGAUGGAAAUUACCCAGAACAUCAAUAGAUGGUUUGGCAUCAUUUUUUUUGGCCACAGUGAUUUUGCUUCUCAGCAAGCUAGAGCUUUCGGUUUGGUGCUCUGCCAAUGCCAUCUAAGACCAUAGGCCAUGAAUUCAUGGAAAAAUAGCAACCUGUAUGCCAAUUGAACUGUCUGCUCUCCUCUUACGAUCAGAGUUGUGUAACCUGCAAAAAUCCUGUCUUGUGAAUGUUUCUCUCACCUAUUCAAAUAAUUUACUUGCCCAUACAAACAUAGCAAAUAUCCAUAAAAGAGUAAAGGAAAGAUAUCUUGAAUUUGAAAUAAAAAUAAAGUUUCUGUAAUUAUUUGCUAGUCCUGAAAGAGUUUGUGGGGGUUAGCAGCAAAGCCCUUCGCUUACAUGCAUGUAAAUCAGAGCAAUGUAUUGUGUUGGAAAGGUUGUGUAUGGCAAGCAUAGUUAUCCACUUCUCACAAAACAGCUUGAAUCAGCAACUCAGGAUGUGACUGUGCAAAGCUAAUGGAUGGGUUGUAGAAGAGAAAACAACUACUGCAAGCAAGGAAAAAAGAAAAACAAACAACAAAAAAAGCUGUACUUUCCAUCUUCCUGGCUCUAGAACCUUAAAACUUUCUUUCACUUCUGGUUUAAAUGCACCAUUAUUUCAUGGCUUAACGAAGGGCAUUCACAGAAGAUACAAGAAGUCAGAUGUACUGAUGAAUGGGGCCUAAAAAGGUCUUAGAAGGAAGUCAUGAAUUGUGUGACAGUAUUGUAAUCCCUGUCUGCUCUUCACCAAGGUGUUCAUACUAGAUUCAAGUAUUCAGCCAGCUGAACAGAUGGAUGCCUGAGACCUAUUUACAUGGACUUGUAAUGAAUUCUGUUUGUUGCCCUGUUCUGAACAAAAUGCAGACAAUUAAGAAAAAAAAGGGAAUCUGGGAUUUCAUUCAUAUUCAUCAAGGAGUAUGCUUUAUAAAGCUGUUUUCCUACUACAGCACUUAAUUCUCUGCCCUUUACAUUGCUACAAGUGGAAAAAGAGCACCAGGAAUUUUCUCCUACUUUCUCCUUUAUUUUUCCAAGCUUGAGAAAUGGAGCAGCAUCCCUUCCUCUGCCUGGGGAGAAUCCUGGAACCCUCAGAGGUGAUGUGGAUACACAGAACAAUGCAAAUUUUAUGUAGUCACACAAAGUACAUGACCAAAAUGCUUUCCGAAUAUAAAUAAUACAGAUACAGAUGUCCCUCUUUGCUAAGAUGUAAGAAAUCACAAAGUGUAGUUCUAAAAUGCAAUGGCUAAAAGCUGUGUUUUCAAUUUAAAGUGAGAGCUGGGAGCAUGUGAAGAAUAAAUGAAAUGGUGAGAUUAAGCAAGACUGUGGGAUAAAUACUCUGGUUCAGAUAUAAAGGCUUUAGUGACAAUGUCAGAUGCCUGAGGGUGAGAGUGAAGGACAGAAAAGAUCAGGGUUAUAAAUAGUUUACAUAAAUUGAAGAAAUAGGUCUAAGAAUUCCAGAAGAGUAUAAGGAUGAAAUAGCAAAGAGUACAAAAAAGCCAGUGAGUAGAACAGAUGGGGAACUGAGAUUUGAGGACUGAAACAGCCAAGAUAAUAAGCAACCAACAACCACAAAGUUGGAGAAGAAAUCAUUGAGGGCAGGGAAGACAAUUGGAGCUGGAGGCUUGAAAGGCAGGAGCAAGACAGAAGAAAAUGGAAGAGAGAUGUUUUGAAGUAUAGUGAAAUCACGCAGCGCAACAUUUACUAUUUGAAAACUAAAGAUGAGUACAGGCCAAAGUCAUGAGUAUUGCUUUGAAGUGCCCAAAUGUUAGAAAAGACCAGCAAGUUUCAGAAUAAGCUCAUAUCUGACCUGAUUACUCGAAACCAAUGCUGUCUUUAUAAAAUAGGAAAAACAAAAUUGCACUUUGAAGCAAUCCUGAACUCAGUGUGCUUUGGCCCAAAUAUUGAUGAUGUAAGAAUUCUCCUUUUAAAAAAAAAUAAAGAAUUGUACCUUCAGCAGCUUUACAAACGCAGCUGUUGGGCAUAGGCUUCAAUUAUAUGUAAGUCAGUAUAUUGGUACCAGCUUGUGAAAAGAUCGUUAUAGGAUUCCUUUUUUUCCUUUUUUCCCUUCAGGGUCUUUUAGUUAACAGGAAAACCCAAGUGAACUGGUACUUCCAUCUCAGAUUGAAAUCAGCUGAAUAAAAGUUUUCUUUCCAAGAUUUCCUGGCAUGAUGGAAGAGAAAAAUCUUGCAAUCUCUGAAUCUUACGUAGUAAGUGAAUAAGGAAAUAGGAGUUUUGUCCUGUAUUUCUGAAUUGUCCUGUACAUUUCUGAAUGUAAGUCUUGUAUUUUUUUCUGAAUGGUAGAAGCACUUUCUAUGGCAAUUUCUGCACAGCACCACUGCAGUCUGAUUGUGUGGACAUACAGGUAGAUUUAAAGAAAACAAGCAGCUUUUUCAAAAUGUACUUUGUCAGCUUCAUAGUAUUUCAUCUUUGUGGUACAAUGCAAGCUGAGCAAGUUAAUGAUUAUCACUAUAUCCUUAUGAAAGGAUAGUAAUAAUCUUUCUUUCCUAUUAUUGAGGAGAGUUCUUGCUGACUCUUGACAGGUUUGCUGGUGGUGGUGUAAUUGAUGGUUGUUCUGUUUUGUUUUUGUAGCAGAAGCCAGGUUCUGCUUUAUCACCCAUUUUUUUGUUAACCUAACUUCGGCCUGUUCCAGAGAAAUAUUAUUAAACUGUAGAAUGGGCUCAGAUUUUUGGAAGCUCUGUUUUGAACAGAGUCCAGUGUGCAUGGUGUUCAAGCAGAUUACUUCCUUUGCUUCAUGAAAUGACUGAUGAAGUUCUCUCUCUUAAAAAAAAAAAAAAAAAAAAAAAAAAAAAAAAAAAAAAAAAGGCCUUCUAUGGUGUCAUGACUGGCUGGAUAGAGGUGAGAGCAGAGGAUAUUGUUUAUCUUGACUUCAGCAAGGCUUUUUGACACUGUCUCCCAUAACAUCCUUGUAAGUAAGCUGAGGAAAUGUGAGGUAGAUGAGUGGAUUAUGAGGUGGAAUGAGACAAUUUUGCAGUAGUGCAAGAAGAUGUUAAGACUGACACUUGUUUAGCCAUGGCAUUAUAUUUUUAUUAUUUCAAAAAGCUAUUCUCACUGCACUGCAUAUGUCUUCACAGAGUUAAACAUUUUGGAUCUAAAGUAGCAGGAGACACCUAGUAUUCCUACAAAAUUAAUGGAGGAGAUUUUGGAGAUCUUCUGGUGAUCCAGUUUUUGUCCAAAGAAAUUGUAGCUCUGGUAAAUAUGAAUAGAUAAUUUCAAAAUACAUUUUCUGUACUUUUCCCUCAUCUUUCACCCAAUUCCAAGUGGUGUCUUAAUUAAACGUGAAGUGAUAUCUAAGCUAGGUCAUUACUUCUCCGCUAGUGAAAGCAGAUUAGAGUAGAAAUUGACAAAAACUUCUACAUGUCUAAGGAAUUUAAAUAGCUGUGUAAAAAAUGGGGUGUUUUUGAAUAACAUUGAGUUAUUCAACUAGAUGUUGAAGUUUUCAGCUAGCUUUCAAAAUACCCAGUCUUGGUGUGUAAGCUCUGCAUCAAGCAUGCAUCUAUUUUAGCACAUAGAUUCAGC